GGGAAUCUUCGGCAAUGGACGAAAGUCUGACCGAGCAACGCCGCGUGAGUGAAGAAGGUUUUCGGAUCGUAAAACUCUGUUGGUAGAGAAGAACGUUGGUGAGAGUGGAAAGCUCAUCAAGUGACGGUAACUACCCAGAAAGGGACGGCUAACUACGUGCCAGCAGCCGCGGUAAUACGUAGGUCCCGAGCGUUGUCCGGAUUUAUUGGGCGUAAAGCGAGCGCAGGUGGUUUAUUAAGUCUGGUGUAAAAGGCAGUGGCUCAACCAUUGUAUGCAUU
rnacentral:rRNA from 1 species